rfam:Synechococcus sp. GFB01 Contig63, whole genome shotgun sequence.
GAUAACCCCAGAUCACGCCGGGGUUGAGGGUGGGGUUGGUGAUCAGGCGAACGUCGCCGCCACCUGGGGCCCAGGUGUCGUAGACGCCGCCGAAGAACAUGGCCUUGAAGACCAGCAGCAGGGCGCCGACGCCGAGCAGAAUCAGGUGAUAACCAAUGAUGUUGGUCAUCUGAUUCUUGUCGCGCCA